rnacentral:lncRNA from 1 species
GAAGCCGCAAGCUCAGCUGCCCUGGCAGGGCUGCAGGUCCUGGCCCCGGCCCCCCAGCUGGUAAGAGGAGCUGGACUUGAAAAGAAGGUGGAGAAGCACCGCCAGCUCUGCAUCUGCCCACGGGGCAUCUGACCGCCACAACCUUGCGAGAGGUGACCUCUUGGCUCCUGCCUCCCAGGUCUCCACAAACUUCUUCUGACUCCAACCAGACACUCCGCAGGGAAGGUGGUAUGUGUUUUGUUUUGGGAAACAAAGUUCGCAGCUUAACCAAGAUGACCAAGAACACAUCACCACAUACGGCAAUGGUAGAAUAACCUACUAGACAGUUAACUGAAAAAGACGGAGGAAAAUAUGGAUGGUAGGCACAUUAUGAUUUUUGUCUUUCUAGGGCUGCACCCGUGGCAUAUGGAGGUUCCCAGGCUGGGGGUCAAAUUGGAGCUCCAGCUGCUGGCCUACACCACAGCCACAGCAACACCAGAUCUGAGCCGCGUCUUCGACCUAAACCACAGCUCGUGGCAACACCUGAUUCUUAACCCACUGAGCAAGGCCAGGGAUCAAACCCGAGUCCUCAUGGAUACUAGUUGGACUCGUUAACCACUGAGCCAUAAUGGAAACUCCCAUUAUUUUGUUUUUAAUUAUAGUAAAAGACACAAAGAAUGUUCCUUCCUUUUGGCCGUGCCUCCAGGGCCUGAGAGUUCUGGAGCUAGGGAUUGAACCCAUGCCACAGCAGUAACCCAAGUCACAGCAGCAACAAUGCUGGAUCCUUAACCUGCUGUGCCACAAGGGAACUCUGUAAAGUUUAUCAUUUUAACCAAUUUUACGUGUAAAAUUCAGUGGACACACCCAUGCAUAGAGGCACCCCUCUAUCUCUGUGUGCACAGAAUCUUUCUAGAAAGAUAGUUGGGAAACCAAGAAACUCUCAGGGGUUGUCUCUGGAGAGGGCGGCUGGCAGGUAGGGGUGGAAAGAGAGUCACUGCUAGAGACUUCAGUUUCACUUUGUUUUCUUCUGUGCUGUUUGAACAUGUAUUUUUAUUCAUUUUUUUUCCCCCUGGAAGCUGCUCUCAUCCCUUAAUUCUGAUAGAGUUGAGAGGGGCAAAUCCUUCCCCUUAUGCAAUCAGAUCAGAGCACCACAGCUGCCCUCCUCCCCCAGGAGCACAAGGCCUCUGGCACAGUUUGGUGUGGAAUACAGGUGGCUGGACCGUGUGACUCACAGUGUGGCCUUUGGCCAGCACCGUCCCUCUCGGGGCCUCAGUGUCCCCGUCUGUACAAGGAAAGGCUUGGAAUCCAUGGCGCCUAUGAGUCUGUAAUGCUCAGGGAUGUCUUGAUUCUAAUCAAAGUUACAGAAUUUGCCUGGAGGCUGGGUCUUUGCAGUAGGCGAGGAAGCAGAGAUGCAGGGAGAUAGAAAGACUUGCCUGUAACUACCUGGAAAGGCAGCAAUGGGGAUAGGAUGAGAAACAAGAGUUCUCAGUUACCUUCUGUUCAGAGCUAGCUAGAGGCUGGCCGCAGACAAACUCAGCUUCAAGUAAUGGAAGCAGCAACUCCCAUCAAACCAUCAUGGGACAUGGCAGGCUUCCGUGUUACCCUCCUUUUAUUUCUUCUCUUACAUAUAAAAAUAUAUUCAUAACUAUUAAAACAAAGACGCUCACUUUGUACAAUGUAAAAUCAUUUAGUUUAUCAUACUUGGAGAAACACUGAUUUGGUCAAAUGCGAUCAUUGUACAGUGGGUAUGUUUGGUGCCCAGGAGACGGCAGUUCAGGGUGUGGCUAAUACCUUCAGAUUUAAGCAGAUUUCCAUUUCAGCUCUCCCAGCACAUGAUAAAUGCCACCUAAGUGGUAGCCAUUACUAUUAUUAUGCUAUAAAAUGAACUUAUUACACACUGUAAAAUGUAAAAUAAAAAAUGAUCUUAUAUCUUGUGUUUAAAAACUAAGACGGAUAUCACCUAUACUUAAUUAGGCCUAGAAAAACCUCUAGAAAGAUUCGUGGUAUGUUGAAAGAUUCACAGACUGCCUCUAGGGAAGGGGUUGGGGGUUGGGAGUAUGUUGUAUGUUGUAUACUUUAAAGAAUGGCUUGACUGGAGUUCCUGCUGUAGCGUAGCAGAUUAAGGAACCAGAAUGGUCUCUGCAGCAGCACAGGUUCAAUCCCCAGCCUGACAUGAUGGGUUAGGAUCCAGCAUUGCUGCAGCUGUAGCAUAGGUCACAGCUGCAGCUUGUAUUCAGUCCCUGGACUGGGAACUUC